rnacentral:rRNA from 1 species
UAAACCUGCCUGGUAGCGGGGGAUAACUAUUGGAAACGAUAGCUAAUACCGCAUAACAGUAGAUAUCGCAUGAUAUUUGCUUGAAAGGUGCAAUUGCACCACUACCAGAUGGACCUGCGUUGUAUUAGCUAGUUGGUGAGGUAACGGCUCACCAAGGCAACGAUACAUAGCCGACCUGAGAGGGUGAUCGGCCACACUGGGACUGAGACACGGCCCAG